rnacentral:lncRNA from 1 species
GAGAGAGAGAGAGAGAGAGAGAGAGUAGGGCUACUAUACUCUUAUGAGUAUAGAGUCAUUCGUACUCAUAAGUUAUUUUCGAUGUUGGGGUUUCCAGAUCGACGAUCCACACCGUUAAACAUGAUCUAGAGUAUUUGAAACUUUUAAAAAAUAAAUUUUGUAAUUUUUUGAAAUCAUUAUAAAGUCCAUUAAGCGGAUAUAAAAUGAACGGUCAAAAUCGAAUGACGUCCUAAAAAUGGAUGAUCAGAUCCUUUAAUUUAAGAUCGGGGUUAUUGAUUUUUAUCUAGAUAAUGAAUAGAAUUUUCUAUCAAAAAUUGAAUCUAUUCCGAUUCUUUUACACCGUUAAACUAGCAAGUAUCACAUACCGGUCAUUAAAAAUUGUCAAUUUUGUGAGCCAUUGAUCGUAAGGUAAAUGAUAUCGAAAACUUAUAAAAUUUGAUUUCUAUAAGUUUUAAAUGCUCUAGAUAAUGUUUAAUGAUUUGGAUCGUCGAUUCGGAAGCUCUAUCAUCGAAAACAACUUAUGAGUAUAAAUGCGAUUGUACUUAUAAUAGUAUAGUAGCCGGACUAUAUAUAUAUAUAUAUAUAUAUAGUGAGGCUACUAUGCUAUCGGAAGCACGGAGCCGUCUGUGCUUCCAACUCGUUUUUGAUGUUGCGACUUUCGAAUCGUCGAUCAGCUUCGUUAAACUUGAUCUAGAGUAUUUGGAGUACCUAGAAAAUAAAUUUUAUUAUUUUUCGAUAUUAUUUGCCUAGUGAACGAAGGGGCUCAAAAUCAACGGCUN